rnacentral:lncRNA from 1 species
ACACAUUCUUAUGUUUCAUUUGAGUUUUCUUUUGUUGUUCUUGUCUGACGUUGUUUUAAUCCCGUCUUAGUGCAGAGUUUUUUUUGUCUUGAGUUCGCGUCUUGGUACGGUGUCCGGUUUAAUUCCGUUGUAGUACAAUGUUUGUUUUGUUCAGAUUUGCAGAUUUGCUCCGAUUCAGAUUCAGUGCAGAUUCACACGUACUCUACUUACUUGAAUAAAUGAAUAUUGUUUGUUGUUAGUCUAAAAAAAAAGAAAAA